rnacentral:ncRNA from 1 species
AGUGCUCGCAAGAGUUAAAAGGGAAACUAGUUUAAGUCUAGUACAGCCCCCGCUACUGUAAGUCGUGAGUUCCAUCAUUAUGCCACUGAUUAAAUUUGGGAAGGCGAUGGAGCCAAAAGCGACAAGUCAGGAAACCUGCUAAGUUA